AAACGAAUAAGCAUACGACCUCAUAUAAUCAUUGGGAAUAGGGCCCAAAAGUUUCUACCUGGUUACCGUAAAUGACCGGACUAUGAGGGAAAGUGAUGCCUUG
rnacentral:ncRNA from 1 species